rnacentral:rRNA from 1 species
UAGGGAAUCUUCGGCAAUGGACGAAAGUCUGACCGAGCAACGCCGCGUGAGUGAAGAAGGUUUUCGGAUCGUAAAACUCUGUUGUUAGAGAAGAACAAGGACGUUAGUAACUGAACAUCCCCUGACGGUAUCUAACCAGAAAGCCACGGCUAACUACGUGCCAGCAGCCGCGGUAAUACGUAGGUGGCAAGCGUUGUCCGGAUUUAUUGGGCGUAGAGCGAGCGCAGGCGGUUUCUUAAGUCUGAUGUGAAAGCCCCCGGCUCAACCGGGGAGGGUCAUUGGAAACUGGGAGACUUGAGUGCAGAAGAGGAGAGUGGAAUUCCAUGUGUAGCGGUGAAAUGCGUAGAUAUAUGGAGGAACACCAGUGGCGAAGGCGGCUCUCUGGUCUGUAACUGACGCUGAGGCUCGAAAGCGUGGGGAGCAAACAGG